GAAGGUGGCUGCAGCCACCGUGGUGAUGGCGUUGGGGCUCAGCUUCUUCAUCGCCGGCGUCUAUCACUACUGGAAGAGGCCACCGGCACUGGGUUACACUCCCCUCCCCGGAGACAACUACCCCGCAGGCAGCAUCUGAGGACCCCCAGGACAGUGACCUCCCGGCGCCGACGGUCCCCCCCCAUGGCCCUGUCACCCCGGGGUGCCGCUGCAGCGCCGACAAUAAAGAUGCUC